rnacentral:rRNA from 1 species
UGCAGUCGAACGGUGAUGGGGAGCUUGCUUCCCUGAUCAGUGGCGAACGGGUGAGUAACACGUGAGUAACCUGCCCUUGACUCUGGGAUAACUCCGGGAAACCGGGGCUAAUACUGGAUACGAAGCGCCUCGGCAUCGGGUGCGCUUGGAAAGUUUUUCGGUCAAGGAUGGACUCGCGGCCUAUCAGCUUGUUGGCGGGGUAACGGCCCACCAAGGCGUCGACGGGUAGCCGGCCUGAGAGGGCGACCGGCCACACUGGGACUGAGACACGGCCCAGACUCCUACGGGAGGCAGCAGUGGGGAAUAUUGCACAAUGGGCGAAAGCCUGAUGCAGCGACGCCGCGUGAGGGAUGAAGGCCUUCGGGUUGUAAACCUCUUUCAGUAGGGAAGAAGCGAAAGUGACGGUACCUGCAGAAGAAGCGCCGGCUAACUACGUGCCAGCAGCCGCGGUAAUACGUAGGGCGCAAGCGUUGUCCGGAAUUAUUGGGCGUAAAGAGCUCGUAGGCGGUUUGUCGCGUCUGGUGUGAAAACUCAAGGCUCAACCUUGAGCUUGCAUCGGGUACGGGGCAGACUAGAGUGCGGUAGGGGUGACUGGAAUUCCUGGUGUAGCGGUGGAAUGCGCAGAUAUCAGGAGGAACACCGAUGGCGAAGGCAGGUCACUGGGCCGCAACUGACGCUGAGGAGCGAAAGCAUGGGGAGCGAACAGGAUUAGAUACCCUGGUAGUCCAUGCCGUAAACGUUGGGCACUAGGUGUGGGGCUCAUUCCACGAGUUCCGUGCCGCAGCAAACGCAUUAAGUGCCCCGCCUGGGGAGUACGGCCGCAAGGCUAAAACUCAAAGGAAUUGACGGGGGCCCGCACAAGCGGCGGAGCAUGCGGAUUAAUUCGAUGCAACGCGAAGAACCUUACCAAGGCUUGACAUACACCGGAAUCGGCCAGAGAUGGUCGCGUCUUCGGACUGGUGUACAGGUGGUGCAUGGUUGUCGUCAGCUCGUGUCGUGAGAUGUUGGGUUAAGUCCCGCAACGAGCGCAACCCUCGUCCUAUGUUGCCAGCACGUUAUGGUGGGGACUCAUAGGAGACUGCCGGGGUCAACUCGGAGGAAGGUGGGGAUGACGUCAAAUCAUCAUGCCCCUUAUGUCUUGGGCUUCACGCAUGCUACAAUGGCCGGU